CGCCGGCCGCAGCCGGCGGGGCCCCCGGGCCGGCUUUGCGGCGAGGAGGCGGGGACGAGGAUAAAGGAGCAGCCGCGCCCUCAAGUUUGUACAGCAAGUCGGCCCCCGCCGCCACCGGCACGCUCAGCUCGGGCACAUCUGCCCGCAGGGGCUGCAAGGAGCGGUGAGGCGUCCGGGUCCAGAAAGGCAAAGGGGUCUGGCAGGUGCGCAGCCCUCCAUCCGGAUCUUCUUCACUCCGAGCCGAGCAGGGACACCCCAGCACCGGCCAGUCCCCAGAUGCUCCACAAACAUACCGCAGAGGGGAAGCGCCGGCACCCGCGGGGCGCUAUGGACACCGAACACUGGCCCCGGGGGCUAGAACUCCGUGGCUGAGGGCCUCUGCCCCCAGUAUGUACGUGCCUCUACAGCCCCCCUGCUCCCACGUUCUUUAGAAGCAGGAACCCCUUGGCUUUGGUUUCAGCCCGGGUCAAAAGGCGGAAAGGUGCCCUGUGUGCAGUAGAGCCGCACACAGCGAACCCCACGGGCGCAUCCCUGACGCUUCCAUGCGUGAGAACCACGGGUUGGGGUCAGAUGCGCUUUUCAAUUAACAUCUAUUUCUAAAGAUGACAAGACCUGCUAGUUUCGGAGCCGGACUCUGGAUUUUCUCCCAAGGAAUACAACGCAGUGUUUUCUGCUGGUGGGAUUCCAUUAGGACCACCUUCAUGGAAUCCUGCAGGGAUGGGCUCUCCACUCUUCCAUCGGGACCGUCUUCAAGUUUGCCCCCAGAUAGGUGGAGUGGGGAGUUUAGAGAGCAGACGGUUGGGAGGCGAAACCAGCUGGCACAAGCAGUGUGAUCUUGGGCAGGGUGUCUGUAAAUGGGGAAGACCACAGGAGGCCUCCCCAGCCAGGAGUUGGAAUGGGGGAACCCCGCUCAGCCUCUUUAGUGGAGGAGCCUUAAAUGAAACAAACCCAGCAGCAAUGUCUCUCUGCAAAGGGAGAUCGUAAUAACGCCCAGGUGCCACGCGGGUGGGUGCUUGCAGGGACGGAAGGCACAGGAUGAGGGUUUAGGACAGCAUGUCAAUCACGGCAGAGAACUGGGUACAAGACAGGGCACUGGUCUAGAUGUGUUCUCCUCAGUUCUUCUACCCUUGUCCAGAGAUCUUCAGCCAGAGAACGAGUAGACAUAUUCUAUCUCCUCUGAUAUAGUAAAGCCCUGGCUUUGUGAUCCCAAUGAGAGGGAAUACAACGUUUUAUAUUCGUGCAGAACGAUGCUCAUUACUCCUAGCUUUCACAAUGGUUCCUGUUACUCUGAGAUGUUGCCCUGCGGAUUCAGUGGAAAAUAAAGUUGACUUCAGAAGAAAUCAGUAUUUUAAUCUGUGAGGCAUGAGAGCUGUAUUUCCUUUCUGGUUGCUUUCAUCUCUUAAGUUUCUAAAUGAAUCCACGCAAUAAAAAAAGCCAGACAAAGUAGUGCCUGUCACAGAUUUUUGACAGAAAAGCAGUUGUGACUCCGUGGGCUUCAUAGGCUAAUCGUAACACAAAGUAUGUAGCAGAGAAAGUGGGGAGGAACAAGCCCAAGACCUUUACUGAGUCUGAGCCCGCUGGUGAGUGUGAGGAGGAAGGUCACCCCGACAAGCAAGUCCUAGGGCAGGGUGCCAGUCUCCUGCCAUCACCCCUGGCCUGUGGGGCCUCAGGAGAGUUGCAGCUACAAUGUCCAGGCUGAAAUUUAUGAGAUUUGUUUCCAAAAUGAACAAGUACUUGGAAAGCGAAAGCGACUGUUUGAACUCAGGUCUGACAGGGGCUUUCUGGAUUUGUCCAGAGCAGAAACAUUGUUGGAAUUAACUCAUCCUCUUGCGGCUCACAAAACUCAAACAGUGAAGGCGAGAAAGAGCGCUGGAAGGAAAUACCAACGAGAGUAACAGAGGCCAAGCCAUCCGUGAUUUCAAAAGGAUUCCCAGAACUUUAUUCCGAACUUCAACAAAAUCAAUACACAUAAAUUACCUGCUCGAUAUCAGAACUAUUUUUGAGUUGCAAUUGGAACCAACUGCUUCUAAAAUUUAGAAAUCCAAGGAGAAAUAACAUCUCCCAAAUCUGUCUACAGAAGGUGGGAGGCCAAGGGUGUUGCCUUUCAUAGUUGUGCAGAGAAAUGAAACAUCUCGGGAGUCUGUCAGACAGAAGUCCCUCUCGUUCCAACAGAAAGCAAAGCCUUAAAGAAUAAAUGUAAGAGAAUUUUAAAGUCAAGAAAGCAAAAACCAAAAAUUUCCAAGUGCGUUCUAAAAAAGGAAAAGCGUGGAUAUCCAUUGGAAAAAAUCUCUGGGCUUAGACAAAAAGAAAAAAAAAAUCCUCAGAGCAUAUACAGAUAUAACUACGCACAUACACAGGCUAUAUGCGUUUAUGUGUGUCUGUGUGAGUGCAUUAUCUACUUUUAAUUAAAAAAAAGGUGGAAUCCCAAGCCAACACAGGUCUAUCAAAUUCUUCACCAGCCAAGUCUUAGCGUACAAGUUCGUAUGAAAUGCUGUAUGAAUUCCCUAGGAAAUCCUGGUGGGUUAAGUGACUGUCACUCAGGCGUGCUGCCUGUGUCUGCUGGUCUGCAGCUGCAGGGCGUGGGCCCCCCACCCCCACCCCACCUGUGCUGCACGCGCUCUCUAGGAUCUCAGCAGGGGCUAAAGGAUCAGGAAAUAACUACUCUUGCUUUCACCCACCCGAAGAAACUCAGAAGCAAUGCUUUCUGACUUAAUGAUCUUCGGGAAGAAACUUAAAGCACCGGGAAAAGCUGGAGCUCGGGAGCUGACCUCUCGGGGCUGCCUGCGUGGUUGUUGUGGGGACUCAGCAGCGACAACCGCGCGCUAUCCUGAUGAGCUGGGUUUGUCUUUGCCAAAUCUCCUUCAAAGCAGGGCCUUGAUUUUAUGCUUUUGGGUUUUGAGAAUAAGAUAAAAACAUCUGUAAAACACGGCUGAUGUCCUGGUUAUUGAACAGUCUAGGGUUUGAGUAGAGGAAGCACUGUGUAUUUUAUUCCCCCAAAUACUUUUCCUUUCUGAAAACUCUUUCAUGCUCUUUAAGACUAAUAAACUUUUCACGCGUCUCUGUAAA